AGUCAAGUAAUUAAGUGCAUGUGGUGGAUGCCUUGGCAGUCAGAGGCGAUGAAAGACGUAAUAGCCUGCGAUAAGCUCCGGGGAGGCGGCAAAUAUCCUGUGAUCCGGAGAUUUCUGAAUGGGGAAACCCACCUGUCAUAAGGCAGGUAUCAUACACUGAAUACAUAGGUGUAUGAGGCGAACGAGGGGAAGUGAAACAUCUCAGUACCCUUAGGAAAAGAAAUCAAUUGAGAUUCCCUCAGUAGCGGCGAGCGAACGGGGAACAGCCCAUUAAGUCAUAUAAGUUCUAGUGGAAUGCUCUGGGAAGUGCAACCAUAGUGGGUGAUAGUCCUGUACACGAAAGGGCUUAUAUGAUGAUGUCGAGUAGGGCGAGGCACGUGAAACCUUGUCUGAAUAUGGGGGGACCAUCCUCCAAGGCUAAAUACUCCUGACUGACCGAUAGUGAACCAGUACCGUGAGGGAAAGGCGAAAAGAACCCCUGUGAGGGGAGUGAAAUAGAUCCUGAAACCGCAUGCAUACAAGCAGUGGGAGCCGGCUUAGUCCGGUGACUGCGUACCUUUUGUAUAAUGGGUCAGCGACUUACAUUCAGUAGCGAGGUUAACCGAAUAGGGGAGCCGUAGAGAAAUCGAGUCUUAAUAGGGCGUUUAGUUGCUGGGUGUAGACCCGAAACCGGGUGAUCUAUCCAUGAGCAGGUUGAAGGUUGGGUAACACUAACUGGAGGACCGAACCCACUGUCGUUGAAAAGCCAGGGGAUGACUUGUGGAUAGGGGUGAAAGGCUAAUCAAACUCGGUGAUAGCUGGUUCUCCCCGAAAGCUAUUUAGGUAGCGCCUCGGACGAAUACCAUUGGGGGUAGAGCACUGUUUCGGCUAGGGGGUCAUCCCGACUUACCAAACCGAUGCAAACUCCGAAUACCAAUGAGUACUAUCCGGGAGACAGACUGCGGGUGCUAACGUCCGUAGUCAAGAGGAAAACAAUCCAGACCGCCAGCUAAGGCCCCAAAAUUAUAGUUAAGUGGGAAACGAUGUGGGAAGGCAUAGACAGCUAGGAGGUUGGCUUAGAAGCAGCCACCCUUUAAAGAAAGCGUAAUAGCUCACUAGUCGAGUCGGCCUGCGCGGAAGAUGUAACGGGGCUAAAACUAUAUGCCGAAGCUGCGGAUUUGCAAUUUAUUGCAAGUGGUAGGGGAGCGUUCUGUAAGCCGAUGAAGGUGGAUUGAGAAGUCUGCUGGAGGUAUCAGAAGUGCGAAUGCUGACGUGAGUAACGACAAAACGGGUGAAAAACCCGUUCGCUGAAAGACCAAGGGUUCCAGUCCAACGUUAAUCGGGGCUGGGUGAGUCGACCCCUAAGGCGAGGCCGAGAGGCGUAGUCGAUGGGAAAUUGGUUAAUAUUCCAAUACUUCUGUGUAAUGCGAUGAGAGGACGGAG
rnacentral:ncRNA from 1 species